UACGUAGGUGACAAGCGUUGUCCGGAUUUACUGGGCGUAAAGAGCGCGCAGGCGGUCGUUCAAGUCGCGUGUGAAAGCCCCGGGCUCAACCCGGGAAGUGCACUCGAUACUGCGUAGCUUGAGUCUCGGAGAGGUUGGUGGAAUUCUCGGUGUAGAGGUGAAAUUCGUAGAUAUCGAGAGGAACACCGGUGGCGAAGGCGGCCAACUGGACGAAGACUGACGCUGAGACACGAAAGCGUGGGGAGCAAACAGG
rnacentral:rRNA from 1 species